AACGCACAUUGCGCCCCCUGGUAUUCCGGGGGGCAUGCCUGUCCGAGCGUCAUUACUGCCCCUCAAGCACGGCUUGUGUGUUGGGCCGCCGUUCCCCUUCCCCCCCGCGGGCGAGGGAACGGGCCCGAAAGGCAGUGGCGGCGCCGCGUCCGGUUCUCGAGCGUAUGGGGCUUUGUCACCCGCUCUGGAGGCCGGGCCGGGGUCACGUCCACCUUUUUUUUUUUACUUCUUCUAAGGUUGACCUCGGAUCAGGUAGGGAUACCCGCUGAACUUAA
rnacentral:misc_RNA from 1 species